AGGUUAUAGUGAGGAAAGGACUGAUUGGGGAAGCUGAUUAAGAGAACAGAACAUUUGAUUCUAAAAGAAAGAUUGCUGCGCUGGAGGUAUUUGCUUUAGUAGUGUAGAGUUGGCCUAAAAUUGGCCCUAAGGUCUCAAAUAGCCUCUGUAACUUGUGGCUUUUAGACAUGUUGCCAGAGAUCAUUAUCACCGUGCUUGCUUGCAUCACAUUUGACACUGAUGAACUCCCCCCCUUAACAACCCCAGAGAUCAUUUUACUAAGUUCUUUUGGUUCUCUCUUUAGUGUUGUUAUUUGGUUCUAACUAUAUUAAUUGGUUUAUGUUCUGUUUGGUUAAGAGUGUUUUAUCACCAACCCCAAUUUCAUCUCCACCCACUUGCUGUGCUACAACAAUCAUGAUGGUGCUUAUGUCAUACACAUGCCCAGGACUGUUGUUCACAUGGCUUCUUUUCAUCGUCCUCACAGUCAAAUCUGUACGCUCGCUUUCGACCGCACCUUUGAAACCAUAUCCGAGUUUAGAAUUCCCUUCACUUUUAAAUCUGGGUAUCAUGGUUUAGUGGGUUCUUGUAAUGGCAUAUUAUGUUUCACUGAUUUUAUCAUAUCAAAGUCUAAAAAUGUGUACUUGUGGAACCCCAGUAUUAGAAAAUUUAAGAGGUUGCCCAAUACUUGCUUGAACCAGACCCAGGUGCUUAAUGUGGCACAUGGAUUUGGGUAUGAUUCCCUGAAUAAUGACUACAAGGUUGUCAGGUUUUCAUGGACUCGUACCAAAUGGAUGCCUCCCCCUGAGGUUGAGGUGUACUCAUUAAGUUCGGACUCAUGGAAAAGAGUUGAACUUGGAAUCUCCUGGAGACCCAAUGUUAUUUCCUACAGUUUUAAUGGUAUUUUGGCAUUCCCAUUUGUUAGUGGACAUUUGCAUUUGAUUUUGUCAUUUGAUGUCAAUAGUGAGAAAUUCAAAGAUCUACCAGUGCCUGAUGAAGGAGGUCUUGUUGCGAAAUGUCUUACGUCAUACAAGGAAAAACUUGCUUUGAUUAAAUUUGGACAUGGUGCACAACCACUUAGCAAGCUAUGCUCCAUAUGGGUGAUGAGGGAGUAUGGUUUGCUUGAUUCCUGGAAUAAACUUUGUGUUCUACCAAUUGAAAUUUCUACUGAUUUCAUUGGUUUCACCAAGUAUGGUUUACUUCUAGUUCGACAUAGGUCUCGCCUGGUCUCUACCAACAGUGAAUUAGAGAGGAAACAUAAGUCUGUUUUAAUUGAUCCUGAAGCUCUACAUGAGAAGGAGAUUAGUAAUCAAAUUGAUUAUCACUUAGAUGUAGCUACUUACAUGGAGAACCUUGCCCUACUUGAUGGAGCAAACGUGGUAUCUUACUGAGAGGAUGUUGCUGGGUAUAACAAGCGAUUUCUUCACAGUCAAAAAAGAAAUGAAAAAAGCAAUAGAGGAGGCAUAAAAAGGAAAAAAAUGGUAAAUGUUGUGUUCUUGGAGGGGGAGGUUUGGUGGGAGAAGUAGCAGGUGACUUGGAAUGCGAUCCCCUGUUGUCUCAUGUGUUAUUUAUCGAGAGAAAGGAAUGGUUGUUGUUUUGACAGUUUGUACCUAUGCCCUGUUUACACUUCCAGUCAUCUCGUGUACUCAGAUGAGAUGAGAAAGAGGAGCACUCUGUUGAAGUUGAAUUUAAGAUGUAGGAGAGCUGCAAGAUUGAAAAGAAAUUUUUUUGCCGGAGGGAGAAGAAGAGCUGGAAUGCUUUGAAGAGGAAGUGGACUCAAAGAUGGAAGGUGGUGAGAGCUUUGAUAAGAUGUAGCAGCAGCACCAUAAGAAGUAGAAGAAGCCCUUUGCUCGGAAAGUUUGGAAGCCUACUCAAGAAGGAUGGCACUAGCAACCAUAAGUAUAGAGAUUGACCAGUUUGGCCUAACUUGUGCCGUAAUAGCAGGCAGUUAUAAUUGGUAUCAAUUUGCACCUAAAUGUGUUUGCUUCAUUGUUUAUGUUUCCAGAAAGCAGAAUAGGAUAAAGAAAUGAAUUUCUGUGUUGCCAAGUUCUGAUGUGUCAUGCAUACGUUUAAUUGUAGGGAAAUUGCCUUCAUCUCCAAUUGAUUAACAUUAUCAUAUGGUAGGGAAUGCCCACUUACCUUGCAAUUGCAACAUCUUAAGAUCAGGACUGACUUGAGUUUAGAUGGUUGCCUAGUUGCAUGUCAGACUCAAAAUGCAAGGAAAGCUUUUUAUUUUUUUAUGAAAUUUAAAGAGAAUAUCUCUGUCAGUUGUUGGGCAUGAAACAAGCAUGAGGUUUUCCUUUGUUCCCAACAUAUAUGAGAUAUUCCACAACCUUGUAUUUUGUAAGCCUUUCCAUGUAUUUGAAAUGCUGAUUGCCUAAGUAUUGGUGUAUCAAAUGGCUUAUUUCAUAAGUUGUGAAUCCGAGAGUUCUGCUACAUCAGCACUUAACCUGGCAGAAGUUACAACUUAAUAUCUUUGACUUUAAGCAUUUAAUUUUAACAUCUUGAAGAAUUGUGUCCAGCUCCCAACUAGGAAACUGGAAAGAGCCUAAUACUAGAACCAAUGCUUCAAUCAGUUCCUUACCCAGUUACCCCCAAAGCUAUGCAGGACGAACCUUGAUCUCCCAGACGAAAUCGUGUUGGAAAUUCUAACAAGGCUACCAGUGAAAUCACUCCUAAGAUUCAGGUGCGUUUGCAAAUCCUGGUACCCUUACAUCACCAACCCCAAUUUCAUCUCCACCCACCUUAAUAGCUUGUUGUCCCACAAUCAUGGUUAUGUAAUAUACAUGCGCAAGACUUAUCCCAGGUAUUAUUCUUCUUCUCAUAGUCAAGUCUGUACGGUCUCUUGCGACCGCACAUUUGAAAGGGUAUCCGAGUUUAGAAUUCCUUUCACUUUUCAAUCUGGGCGUCCCAAAUUAGUGGGUUCAUGUAAUGGAAUAAUGUGUCUCACUGAUUUUAUUGUAUCAGAAUUUAAUGCUGUAUACUUGUGGAAUCCCAGUAAUAGAAAAUUUAAGAAAAUUUAAGAAGUUGCCCGAUACUUGCUUGAGCAGGUUACAUCAUGCUAAACUUGGGUUUGGGUGUGAUUCCCUGAAUAAUGACUACAAGGUUGUCAGGAUUUCACGGUCCCUUGUCAAAAUUAUGCCUCCCAUUGAGGUUGAGGUUGAGGUUGAGGUGUACACAUUAAGUUCGGAUUCAUGGAAAAGAAUUGGACUUGGAAUUCCAUGGAGACCCAAUGUUGUGUUCUGGAAAAUAAAUUGAAUUUUGUUAUCCCCAUUUGUUAGUGGACAUUUGCAUUGGAUGUUUCUAUAUGUAGAAGAUAGAGGUGGACGCGAGAGGCGUUUUACUCAUAUGAUUUUGUCAUUUGAUGUCAAUAGUGAGAAAUUCAAAGAGCUACCACUGCCUGACGAUGAAGGAAGUUGUAUUACAAUAUAUCUCACAUCAUUCAAGGGGAAACUGGCUUUGAUUAAAUUUAGAUAUGGUGUACAAUCAUGUGACACACUAUGCUCCAUCUGGGUGAUGAGGGAGUAUGGUGUGUUUGAUUCCUGGAAUAAACUGUGUGUUGUACCAGUUGAAGGCACUUAUAAUAUCAUUGUUUUUACCAAGUAUGAUUUACUUCUAAUUCAAAGGAGGCCCCGGCUGGUCUCCACCAACAGUGAAUUAGAGAGGGAAGUUAAGUCUGUUUUAAUUGACCCCGAAACUCUACAUGAGAAUGAAAUUAGUAUUCCAGUUGAUAACCGUUUAGAUUUAGCUACUCACAUGGAGAGCCUUGCUUUACUUGAUGGAGAAAAUGUGGUCUCUUACUAAGAUGAUGGUGCUAUGUUGUAUAAGAAGUGAUGCCAUUACAGGAGGAUGGAGCAAAGAAAUGGAAGAGGGCUGGGUAGAAGUUUAAUUUAAGAUGUGGGAGAGCUGCAAGAUUCCAAAGAAAGAAUGUUUUCUGGAGAGAGAAGCAGAACAGGAAUGCAACAAAGAGGAAGUGGACUCAAAGAUGGAAGGAGGUGAGAACUUUGAUCAGAUAAACGAGAUAUCUUCUACAGAAAACAUUGAUGAUGGUGGAAGCCCACCAUCAAAGUAGCAGCAACAUAAGAAGAAGAAGCCUAUGCACUGCUCAGAAAUUUUGGACGCCUACUCAAGAGUAAGGGUACUAGCAGCCAUAGGUAGAGAAAUAGACCAGUUUGGCUUAACUUCUGCCCUACUAGCAGGCAGGUAUAUUUGGUAUUAUUGCACCUAAAUGUUUUUACUUCAUUGUUUAUGUUCCCAGAAAGCAGAUAGGUUAAAGAAAUGAAGAGCCUUGUAUUAUGUUUUUAGUUUUUUCUUCUAUUUCUUUUGCUUUUAAUGUGAUUCCUCACGUGGGACAGGAUCUUGUAUGUGAUUGGAGAUUUUUUUUUUACCUUCAUUUUCAUUGUGUUAAUUGUGCAUGUCUAGAUUUUGUGAAAAGAAGUGGUAAUUUUGAAUUUUCA